CCGCAGCCGGCAGCGACCGCGAUCUCGGCUUUGCUCUUUACCUUUGUGCUCAGGGGGCUGAGCGCUUCUUCCUAUUCUCCCCUCCCCGAGGGCCGCAGGGAGCGCACGACCUCUGCCGUGCGUGCCCUGCACCUGGAGGCUGUCCCGGCCGCGCGCGGGGAGCCGUGCGGGGAGGGGAAGCUGUGCGGGGAGGAGAAGCGGCCUCGCAACCCCGCCAGGACCCCGCACGGCUACCCGGAGCGCAGCACCGCUGCCCUCAACCGGCGCCGUCACGCGGAGCCGCCAAAACGGCGUGCGGGGCUGAGCCGUGCCACGCGGUGCGGUGGGAAUCGCGGCCUGCCUAGGUCCUUCUCCUCUCUGCUCCUUUCCCCAUCGCUCAGAGUGUAUUUUAUGCGAUGUCCGGGUGGCGGCUGGGAAGCAGGUGGUGGCUGCUCGGUCAGCACAGAGGCUGGGACGUGAAACUCUCGGUGCCUUCGUGUGUCGCUGCAGGCGUACAGCGAGGAGGCUGCGCGCCUGCACGUGCGGGCGGAUUGGCUGCGUGCGUGGGGAGAAGGCUCCGAGCGCGGCUCCGGGACCCGUGCCACAGAGCCAGACUGCCGUGGAUUACCGCUGUGACAGUCACGCUGCAACCGGGCACGUUCCUGUCUGCGCUGCCUCUAAUCCUCCAGGAGAACGCUCAGCCUCAGGCACCGCUCCUAUUUGUAGCGCGCCGCAGCGGGAAGCAGCAUCUCCAAAAACUAAACGCUCGUUCACUCUUUUUAAACAAAGGUGUUUCCUUUAAAAGAAACCCUGCAGUGUGAGCGAAUGGCACCGCUCCCCGCAGACCUCCUGAGUGGGAGGCUGUGGCGGGCAGUCUGUGUGAUGUGCGAGGAUGUGACAGGGACGCUAGGCAGCUCGCAGGAUGCAACUUUUCCCGUGGGGACUUGGAUUCCUAGAAAGGCGUCUAAAAUAGGAAAGCGUCCGUGAAUGUGCGCGUUGCGUGGCAUUCCUGCCGGUAUUUUCAGACUGUGUGCAACCCAGAGGGAAAGCUGCAGGCUGACGAGACAGCUUACGGUGCGUGUAGCAUUCGGAGAACGGGGAAGAAAGGCGGUAAGACUCUGCCCCUCAUUUAAAAUGAAAAUGAGACAAACGGUUGAUGUCAAAACCGUUAACGCAUAAAAGAUGCGGAUUUGGUGAGAGGAGGAGCCACACAGCUCCAAGGAGAAUGGAGGAACAUCUAUAUCACCAACACUGUAGUUUUAAAAUCCGCGCUGAGACUGCUCAACAAGAAUACCCAGCCGCUGAGGAUCUGCUUCAUUAAGCCUAAAAAGCCCAGGCGGUGCAGACCCACGCUGCAGUACUAUGUAUGCCUUCUCUGGAUGCUUCACUGACCUCAUUAAGCACAACAGCGGGUCUAUCGUUCCGUAUAAAGUGACCGCCCGAGGUGUUACAAUCACAUCUAUCAGCUACUUCACGACUCCGUGAGCAUUUGCCAAAGCAUCAGAUGAUGCAACUAAAUGCAGAGCUUUCGAGCAUGUCUCACGUCCCAACAACGAUGCUAAUUCAAAUCUCUGAAUACAGCACUGCACCAGUAUCCAACCUCGGAAUAGCAAGUACACCUGACCUAUUUCCAGUUAGCUUUUUUGUUGUUGCUGUUGUUGGUAAAGAAUGCUAGAGACUAUAAAAACACUUUUUUUUUUUCCCCCUGAUUUCAGAAGAAUGCAGUGUUAAACGAUGGGAGACAGAUUAUCAAGUGUUAUUUCAGGUGCCGGAAAACAGAGAGAGAAGAGGUUGGAUCUGGUGUGAUGGACACAUGUUUGAAGAUACGCAGUGAUUAGCUCUUCUUUCUUUUCUGCUACUACACCCACUCCUCUUGCACAUCUCUUGUCUAUCCAAAAUCUAUUUUAAGACUGCCUGGUGACAGCAAUAUUUAUUCCAUCUGUCCUCAUCUUAGUUUUCCUACCUUUUCCUUUGCUACCUGUUUCUGACUCUCUCUUCUCGCCUCCACAACAUGAAACGUGAAGGUGGCGAAGCCCUGUCUUCCAUCUAUCCCUAUUUGCUUAUGCAGUUCAUGGAGUAUUUCUUCUCUUCACCUUCUUGCACAGUCACUUUAAAAAUCCCAUUUUCCAGGUCAUUUCAGCUCACGGUGUUGUAUGUAUAUAUAGGUAGGUUAUAUAUAAUAUAUCUAUGUGCAAAGAUUUUGCAUGUAUUUUCACUGUACUACAAAUAUGAAAUUUAAGGGGAUAAAAAAAAAAAAGCUGUUAAACUCUUGGAGCUGUUCUUUGUCCUCUGAAACUCGAAAUUUCUGGUCUGAAAUAAAACAGUGGAUGUCUUCCUGAAGGAAGCACGCAUUAGAAGAACAUUCUUCCAGUCACCAGUUAAAAUGCCCUCGUGGUGAUUUUUUUCCAUCCCCUUCAUUCUUGGGUUUAUGGACUAGUUUAACGUACAUUCCUGCUACUUUUGCAUCCGGUGCUGUUAUUUGCAAAAGCGAAAAGUGCAAGCUGUGGAAUAUCAAGUCCACUUCCUUCUUUAUUUCACACAAUUACAGAUUCAGGUGAUCACCGUAGUCUGCAGCCCCACCAGCCCUGCAGGCACUACAUGUAUAUUCAGUAAAUUAAAUCCGACCAUCUCUGUGAAGCAAGGAACUGCAGCAGGGAACUGAGAUGCAGUGUGCUCCAGUAAAUUAUCUGAGGUCGCUGCUGGAACUGGGUAGAAGGCUCAAGUGCAACUUACAUCCUUCUCCACAUCAUAAUUUAUUGGAUGUCAUUCCAGAGAAUGUCAGUGAUAACUGAUUCUCCUUCAGUUCCGAUCCAUUGCGUACUACUUCCAGUGUUAAAAUAUAGGUCAACAUCUUACUCUCUUGCCACACUCUGCCUUUUGUCCCCUGCUGCUUGUUUUGGUUUUUAUUUUUUAAAUAAUUUCAAAGUCUGAGCUACUUUCUAGGGCUGUAGUAGUUAUUAAGAGGUAUCUGGAGUAUUUUUCUUCUUGGCAUUACAUGAAUUAAUGGAAAUACGUUGCAGAAGUGGCUUAGUCCCCUAAACAAAUGUCGCCUAACAAUUGCAAUCUUUGUUUCAGAGACAAGCUGCUUCUGGGCUUUGUCAGCUGCCAAUUAUUGCUAGCAGCAUGCCUCCUCUGAGCUCAUCAAAUACUCCUUUAUAUGCUGCCUAGUGCAUCUUCUUUCCCAUUCUUAUAUUUCUUGGUAAGAAAGCCUUGACUUCUGUAUCAAGAAAAACCACGAGAGUAAAAAAAAUUGCCAUUGAGCAGAGCACUGCCACUCUUUAAAUCACACUCAAAUAGGAGAUGUUGAAAACUGUCAUCACUACCCUGGGAAGGAAUUUUAAGAAGAAAACAUCUGCAUUUGCAAUUAGCACCAAAAGCUGGAAUCCUUGCUGAACUUUAGCCUAUUGUAUCGGAACUGACCUAAUUUCCUAAAGCAUUAUCAUGCUGAUGAGUUAAAUUAUCAUAACAGAUUUCUUUUAAGCAGUGGAGAUUUUCCACUAAAGCUGCAAGUGGUUUUGAUUUGCAUGAGGCAAAUAGAUCUUACACUUCAAAUGGUGGGAUGCAAAAGCUAAAUAAAUAUUCACACAGAGCUCCUGUGUGAAUUGCUUGCUUUUCUUUUUGCAGCACCUUUCUACAAAUAGCGUGCAAUGCGUCUCGUAGUUAUAUAGUUCCAAAUCUGGAAAUCCAUUAACUUUUCUUAUUCUGUGUUCCCACAGGUCAUCCUAAUAGUUUCAAGACAUGCAAGCCAAGUAUGUAUCAGUCAGCUUCAAAACUUAGGAAGUCUAUGAAAAACACUACAUUCUUAUCUGGAUAUAUAUUUUUUUUUCCUAAGAAAUCCAGCAUUAUUUAAAAUGCAAUGUUUGGAGAUGUAUUUUUAUUUCCAAUUUGUGUUAUUAAACUCCAGAAGAAUAUUUCCCUUUCCACUCUGGCCGCAGUCCAGUGUUCAAUACUAAACACCCAGUAUCAAGGAGAAACGGUGUACUAGCUGUGAUUAAGGAAAACCAAAGCACAUGUUGUUUUUGUGUGAAUUGGUGGGGCCAUAUCUCCUACCCAGGCCCAUGGCUGCACCUCGUCUUGCCCGAUGGUCAUGCAGGAACAAACCCAUCCACGCUGUUGCACUGUCUGAGCAAUCUGACUGCCAGUGGAGUCUGGCAUUGACUGAACAGUGCUCUUGACAGGUACAAUUCUGCAUCACGCUGCAAUCUGGAAGGUGCAGUUCGUGUAGAAGCAUCUUUUGCCUCUAUUUCUCCUAAUAAUCUUAGUUCAAUACAUUGGAUUGCAAACUGUUGCAGUCUGAUAAAAACUACUGGUUCAAAAGAUUGUCUGUGAUACUUUUGUUAGGUGAUGGUGGACAAAAGGUACACAUCUUUCCCUCUCUGAAGUUUAGACUGUUGCCUGCCAUCUUGCUUCUUAAGACAAUCUCUUUUUUUACAGUAGCUCUCAAUACAAAACAUGUCCCUCUUCAAGUUACCCCUAUUUUGCUCAGUUCCUUUGGAGAUGAACCAGUGCGACACAGAACAACUCUGCUUCAGUUUAACUACUGUUGUGGAUUUUGCUAUGAUUAUUUGAGCAAUGUUUGUAGCCGUAGAUUGUAUCAUUUGGAACGUAGGUACAUCUGUAAUUCUUCCAACUGGCAACCAUCCGAUGAUUUAGGAACAGAAGACAAGAACCUUGUGCCAUACGAGAUGUCAGAAGGGCACACACAGCCAGGCUCCCGAGCAGCUACUAGAGUCAUAGAAGUAUAGAAGCAUAGAACAGUAAAAUUAUAGAAUCAUGCAAUCAUUUGAGUUGGAAGGGAACUUUAAAGAUCCUCCAUCUAGUCCUACUGCCUGCAAUGAACAGCGACACCUCCAGCUCAAUCAGGUUGCUCAGAGCCCCACCCAGCCUGACCUUGAGUGUCUUCAGGGUUGGGGCUAUCCUCUGUGGCAUGCCUUUGGAUGUGCCUCCUGAUCCCAGCCUAUCAGCUACUCUUUCUUUUUCCUCCUGAACUCAGUUUCAGCCCUGCUGUGUAAUCCUGUGUGCACCUGUGUUGUUCCUUAAAUAACUGAGACUUAGAGCAACUAAGACCAGGAUGCACAAUGGGAAAGGCCUGCCUUCCUGCGGCUUCAGCGGAUGCAAGUAUUAUUAUAAAUAAUAGACUUUGUUCUGUUUGUCCAGAAAUAAUAGCAGAAAGAAAACAAAACUUUCUUCAGAAACAUCUGAAUCCCACAGGAUGGACACCCACAAGAAGCUCAAGCCCUUCAUUAUAUAAAAUUCAUUUCUACAACUUGAGAAAAUGAAAUGCCUACAUCUGACAAAUGUGUUGCUUAGGGAAGAGGAAGACAUGUAAGAAAAUCUCAUCUAAACUGCUGAGCGCUCACUGGAUUCCAGCUAUCACUGAAGUGCACUGCUGUACACGGUAGUUCAGGAACACUGUGAUGUUGAAACAAAACUGAAGAAAAACCAUAUUACAACCUUUCAACAGCAUUCAUUUUGUAGCAGCUAUAAUAACAACAAAUAAUGCUGCAGGAGCCGUGAGAGACAAUUGGAGUGUUGCAAAAGGAAGAUGUAAUGCUUGUUUACCUGUUGAGGAGGGCAAGUAAGCUUUACAUUCCUUGCAAGAUUUCACUGUAGACCAUAUUAAAAAAUAGUAAGUAGUGCAAUACUGAAAUUUUACCAAUACUUGGCAAUUUGCGGCAGGGUGUUUCAGCCCACAGUUUACUAAUUCUUCAUGCUAUAGAUAACAUUUUCUUCUCAGUUGUACUGACUGCAGAAAGCUCUAGGGCUUCUUAAAAACUACCAUGCAGUAUCCUGCAUGUAAAAUACAAUUUUAUAAGUAUGCACAUCAAAGAACUGAGUGUUAGUCUCAGGCAGUAGCACAAAGCAAUUCAGCAUGAAUAGUCUUUAACAGCCAUCCAUCCAUGCGUUCAAACUCACGGCCCAGUCAGAAAUAAAUAUAUUUUUUUCCUUUUUCUUUUUCUUUUUUUUUUUUUCAUCUAUUGAACUUUGAACUACUUUCCACGAGAGCAAUUUGGCACUGCAGAACUUCAUACAUUGUUUUAUGUCUGCACAGGUGCUAACUGAAGUCUUUUGCUUACAUUUUUCUUCUUUUGAUAGUUGUUGAAAUGGAAGAUGUCACCAGCAUAGAAGGAGAGCUUGUAAUAUUUGCUAGCUGAAGCAUUUAAGAAAGCACAAUACUGCAUUUGGGUGGCAUUUUAAUCUUACAAAAGUAGUUUAGAACGAAUCUAGAAAUAGCAGUGAUACCUUCUUUCAAAUUAUAGAGAAAGAUGUACAUUUUCUUUCCCACAAGCAUUUUCUAGUGGAGAUGCCUUUCCUCAUACAAGUCAGAAUGCAAAACCAGUCUGUCUCAUUUUUUCCUAGAAGGCAUUUUGGAUUACUAGAAAAACAAGGGAAAUAUACGAUUCAGCGUAACUUCUGAGUGCUGCAGGCAGAGCAAGAUGAGCAAGCUAUGUCCACGCUCUCCAGGGUAGUGUGGGUUGCAGAAAACCCGUAUGUCGCAACUGCUCUUUGUAUGAAUAGGCUCCGUGCGCCUGCCGAAACUGGUAGAACACAGGCAUAAAAUGCACUCUUUUAUGAAUAAUCCAGGAAACAAACUAACAUUUCUGUAUGUGUUGCCAGUUUUGCAUUUGUAAAUCGCUGGCAGUGUUUGCUCUUGUGAGCCAGACUCCAAAAAUGCACACUUAAUUGGCACUUGCCAGAAGCGUGCACCACGUAGCAUGUAAAAGCUCUGCUGAAGACCACCUUUCUCUGUCUACCAGGCACUCCCUGUAAUAGUCUUCCAGGUACUCCAGGCCACAUGGCCAGGGGCUGGGAAGACAGACAGACACCAUUUGUUUACAGAUUCUUUUGGUUGAAGGUCUUCCAAAGGCUACUCCUGCAAGGGACUGCCCCCGACCAGCCCUCCUGGGGCCGCAGCAGCACAUGCAGUAGUUACUGCUCAGAUGGAGACCCCAAGAUACCUUUGCAAGAAGACCAAGUCCAAGGCUGCAAAAUAACAAUUGCUUCCAGAAUUAUGUUAAAUGCUAGGAUAGUGCUUUCCUUCCCCACUUGUUUUGAUCAGAUGUCAUGAACUGGAUAGUUUGGCUUCCCACAGAAAUCAUGUAGCUUAAUGAAUAUAUCCAGUGCUUGAUGGAGAGGCCCAAAGGGUGGCUGCUUGCAAGUUGAGCUGGCACUGCACACAAUCACUGUUUCCAAGUGAUCUAUUUUUACCUUAAGUCAUGCCAGGCACAGUUUAUACUGUUUUGACCUAAAGCACCAAAAAUCAGUGACAGAAUUAGUAUCUAGUUAUACACUGGAAAGCUAAUAAGUUAGAGGCUUUGGAAGUUCAUUUUUGCAGGGUGAAGUAAGUACUUGAUUAUCUUUCAUAUUCCUAAAUCAAGUUAAAUUAUAAAGCUGUGUAAAGUAGAUUUUGAAACCUAAUAUCAGAGAUGCAUGUUUAGUUCUUGGCCUAAAACUGCCAGACAAGGCCUGCACCAUGAGAUUUCAUUUCUCUUCAACAGUGGCCCAAGGACAAGUCAGUCCUUUAUAGUCAGAAUUCAACUUUAAAAAUCACUCAGUAAGCACACUGUUAUGAAAAUCAUCCGUCUUUUUUCAGUACAACAUAUAUUGCUGACAUUGUUCUUUCUCUAUCACAGAACCCACAAAACUUUCAGUUACUCUUCUCUCUGCAAGUACCCACGAUUUCUUCAGAAAAUUCAUGUGUUGCACCUUCCAGCAGUAGCAGUUUUAACCAAUCAGUCAACUCCUUUAGAUUCUGGAUUCUCCUCUCUUUGGGUCCUUCAUUUCUGCUGCUCCUUUAACCAGACAAGUUAUAACCCAAAAGCACGGGGUUCUCUCCUCACACAGCACACCUCCUCCUGCCCUCUGGGACACACCUUCUAUAGCAUUCAUGUUUCCAGGCUAAGCAGUUAGACUGCAUCUGUGCAGCUUGGGACGGCUGGAAAAUGUACACAAACUGCACCUGCUACGUAGUGAGGUUUUAAAGCUGACUGUUUUUCAGCCUUGCAGCAAUACAGUGUGAGACCAAUAUUUACUUGUUAAACACAAAGUCUUAAAGGGAACGAGUCAAGCCAGACCUGAUCCAAACGUGGCUCCGCUUGAUGGAAAAGUUACCACUGACCUCACUGAGGUCUUAUAUUGGACUCAUGGUUACUGUUCAUUACCUCUAUUCUAAAUCUUAAGGGAGAACGAAGUUCAACCUUCGUGUCCAGCCAAGGCUGUAUUUUCCCCAGUAAGUGCUCGGGAAUAGCUGUCAUCAUUUUCUCAUCACUGUCACUGUAAGGCUGAAAGGAGGGCUGCUCCAAAAUUAAGACCUCCUAUUUUAUGAUGUUUGCCCAGAACGUCAGAAGUGAAUGUUGGUGGUAUCACAGUAGAGACUGAACCUUCUCACCAAUAUUCCAUUACAUUUUGCUGCCACGUGACAGUUGGCAGCAUAGGGGCAGUCUGACAGAAUGGUGUCUGACAUGGAAGUACGGGUGGAGCAAAGAUAUGGAAUUAGUUUCUUCCAUGUGGAAAAAAAUGGCACUCACUGACAUUCAUCAAUGCUUGGUGAACACUGGUAGAGACCAAACAGUGGGUGUGAGCACAGUGAGGCAGUGAGUGGUGCUUUUCAGCAGUGGUGACAGGGUCAGUGGGUCACCUCUGCUGAUGCAAACUGUUGUGAGUGUGGCACACAGGCUCUUGUUCACCACUGAUGAAAAUGCACAGCUAAUGGUGGUGACUAUGAUGAAAAACAGUGUUUUGUAGCUGAGAAUCUGCUCUAUCAGUCAGUGUUAUUGUGCUCUUUGUUGUCAUUUCCGUGGGAAUAAACAGUAGGUAUUAAUUUUGGAGCAACCUACAUACAUCCCUGUCCCAUAUAUUAAGUUCCUAACUGUGCUUCAUCCUCCCCUCAUGCAGGUAAAUUUUAGCUGAGGUCAACCGAUUUUUCCUGGUCUGAGAAUGUCACACUGGAAAUGUCUUGUUUAAACUGUAGAUGUUGUACAUAUUGCUUAACCUCAUGUCCUGGUUUUAUUAAGAAGUCCUGUUUGUGUACAGCUUGUGUACAUGAAUUCUCUGAUGAAUGGAGCAGUUUGAAACCUGCGUUUUUAUGUGACUCACAGUGCUCUAGUCCGUGUAAUUCCUGAGCAGGAUCACAGCCGAGCAACUUCUUCAUGUAACAGUGUGCAAGAUUAAGAACAUAGGGAGCUCUUGUUAGCAAAAGUCAUGGGCACUGGAACACUUCAGGACCAAUACAGCCAGAAAUGGAAAGCUAAAAGCAAAGUGUUUUUAAUUAUUAAAGGAGAAUAUCUGGAGAAAUAUGGUCACAAAGCUUCUACAGACAUAUUAACUGUUAAUUCUCUUGUUCAUUGUUGCUAACUCAAUUAUGUGCCCAUUUUUAACGCAUCUCAUUCUUCAAGCUUCAGCCCUUGCAGUGAUGAUUUUAUUCAAAUAUGAUCCCAUUAAAAUGUCGCAAUCAGAGUCCUGACUAUGGAUGAGAAAUAUUGAAUGUAUGAAAUUAAAAAAAAAUGUUUAUCACAAGCACUUCAAAAUCAGAAAAAAAAUAAUCUAGAAAAUUAAAAACAUUCCUUAAUUUAAUAGCUUUACAUUUUAGUACCAGACUCCACUGGUAUCAGCUGUGUCAGUCUUCUGCUUCUGCUUCUGCUAGCCAAAGCUCAACAGGAGCUUCAUGAAUAUGACUUCUCUUUAAGACCUCAGUUUUGAAAUAAAGAUUAUCUUACCCCGAAUACUGCUCUUUUGCUAUGCUGUAAUUAAAAAUAAAAAUCAUUCAGAUAUCUUUACAUGAAAUUAUAUAUUUUCCUUGACUUCACCUGCAUGAAUACAUUUAAUACUAACAUGUACUUCCUGUACUGAGCACUUCAGUCCUUAUUGAAUGCAUCCAGAAAACAUUACCCUGCAAAGCCUUUCUAUGCAAGAAAACUGCAUUAGUAAAAUCAUUAUCUCUACUCUGUACUGAAGCUUAGGUGCAUUAACUAUAAUGGAAACUUAAGCUGAAGGGAGGGAGAGCCAACACCUCUUCUCCCCUGUAUACUGCACUUGUCAGUACAGUGAGACUGAAUAUUACUUGGAGUAUAUUCAAGUCUUCUAAGGUUUUAUUCAGUGGUGAACCACCUAAUGACAUCUUGUAAAUACAUAAAACAUCUUGUAAGUGGUGCAUUGCCAAGCAUACUCCAGACAAUUUUACAUCUUUAUAUGCCCUCUCUUAUUCUGAGAUUGUGAUCCUCCCACAUCCUUCUGAAGGUGACAUCUAACAAGCCCCUCUCCUUCAAUAAAGCUCAUUUACUUUGUAUUAUUUUAUCUUGCUGUGCUUUAGUUGGCAGUAGCUGAGUUUUUGAUGUUUACUGAUGAGGGGUUUAGUCUUCCAAAAGUUUUGUUUUUAUCUCUUCCUCUUCUCACCCUCCACACAAAACCAGCAAAAAUACUCCCACUGCAUUUUCCUUUACACCAGAAAGGAAACAAAAGGAGAACAAGAGUUUCUUCUUAGCAGGAACAAAACAUAGGCUCAGUGGUUUACACGGAAGUUUCCUUUUGAACUUGAGUUCUGGGGGAGAAGUCCUUCAUCAAGCUAUAUGAAUUGCACUCUAGAAAUCAAUCCAGAUGUGACAAGCCUACAGGAGUACUGCAAGAACAGCCAACAUAAAAAUGUUCAGUAAAAUUGUUCAGAAGUAAAAGAGUCCCUGAGUGCACUGUCCAAGCCAUUGUGCUUCACUCCAUGUAGCCAAGAUGGGUCAUUGAUCUUCUGACUUCCCCAGCAAUGUUGACAGGCUUCUCACCGUUUUCGUAGAGCAGCAAUCAUCUGAGAAUUAACACCUGCCUACCACUAUAUUCUUGAGGACUUUUUUGCACAUACCAAGUCCCAUCUUGUUAGUCAUCCAUGUCUCGAUUUUUUUUUCACAUGAAUGGGUUUAUGUGUGACAUCCAUUAAGAAAACUACAGGGUAUAAAGUGCUGGGAAAAAAAUAAAAAAGACUAAUGUUGCCAA